GAGAGGGAGACAAGCGGACUCCCCGCUGAGUGGGGAGCCCAACGUGGGACUCGGUCCCAGGACCCUGGAAUCAUGGCCUGAGCAGAAGGUAGACGCUUAACCAAGUGAGCCACCGGGCCUCCCUGUAUAACUUUCUGAAAAGCAAUUUUGCAGGAUGAUUUAAAGGCCAUGGAAAUAUUCACAGCCUUUAGCACAGCAGUGAUGAAAAUCAAGAGCUAAAUGCACAAAGAUGUUUGUUGAAGCAGCGGCUGUAACGUCAAACGACUAAAAACAGCCUAAAUCCUCAAUAAUAAAACAGCUUAAAUUACAAUAUAUUAAAUAUGACACAUAAAUGAGAUAACCUGUUAACAGAGAGUAAGAAAUUAAAUAGAAACAAAAUACUUUAAUCGACUAGGAUUAUAUUCAGCAGCAAGUAACAGACAAGUUAAAUACAGUGGCUCAAAUAGCAUUUAUUUUUCUCAGAAAUCAAGAAAACCAGCGUUACUGUUGGUUGAAGGUCCCCAUCUCUGUUAUUAUCCAGAGCUUUCCCACUUGGCCACAAGAUGGCUGCCAAAGCUCCAGCCAUCAUGUCUAUGAUCGAUGCAGGAAGAAGGAGUAAGAGACUACUCUUUUUAUUAUGAAAAUGAGAAUGUUCCUAGAAGCUCUCCCAGCAGGCAUUCCUUAUGUCUUUUUGGCCAAAACUGGUUUAUAGAUCACCCCUCUGUGAUGUUGUAAGGGAAAAUGGGGAACAGGAUGACCACAACUGGUUUACCACUGUCUGGGCCAGAGCCCAUUGCCACAUAGGAGGCAAGAUUAGGGUUUUAUUAACAAGGAAGAAGGGGGAAAUGGAUAUUUAGGGGAGAAGUGAUAGUCUUCCUCAAAAUCAAAUGAUAUGAACCCUUUGGUGACAAAUGUGUAAAACCACGUGUGCCUUCGAACAAAGGUUGGUCAGAAAGAAAGAUGCAAAAGAAAGAGUGUGUUCACGUAUAGGAUUAUGCAUGUUUUUCCUAAAUUUUAUAUAACACUGUUAAUAUAAUUUCUAAAGGAGGCAAUGUUUUGCAGAGUCAAAGAUACAAAAUUACUCCGAAAGAGCAGUGGCUUUCUUUAUACAUAGCCACCUUCACCAAAAAUUGGAUUCAGCUCUCAAAACUCAUAAGGGAUUCCUUAUCAGGUGGUUAUCCUUUUCAGACUGAAAAUAGUGGUAUGUGUAUAUAGCUAAUCACAUCUGCCCUCCAGAUCCUGUUUUUGCCGCUGCGCCAUAUUAACGUCAAGCACUCCAUUUGCAAACGUCCCGUUCUCACUGAGCGGAUGGUGGUCACACCCUUGGCUGAGCACCUGUCUUGUUGUGCCGUGUCAGAAGCGUGUAAGUGAGGAUGCCAGUUGGACUUGCAGCAGGUGAACCAAGAGAGUGGUUCAGGCAGAAGCCGGCUGGUCUCCGGCCAAGAGUUUGGAAGUGAAAUUCUUGCUUUGGUUGAGGUAUUGGCUAAGUGGCUGCUAGGAUUUCUUCCAACUCACAGUCCUCAUUUGUACAAGCUAGAGUUGCUGUUACUUGUCUAAAUAGACAUUCCAGAUGGUUGAUCUCCCUCCAAUAUCUAAGAAUGGUUAUAAAAAUCAAUUUGACAACUUCUAAUCUCAUUAAACAAGUUGAGUGGUAGUUUGCUGAGUCUAUGGGCACCUGCAGGACCCCUCUCCCUGCAGCCCCCACCUCACCCUUGCAGCAGACAUUUGCGUUCUGUGCCUUCUAUUCCCACCCAGCAAAACUUGCCUGCUUCCUUCCUCGGAAAGUCCGGCUUUCUUCUUCACAACACCUAGCUCAUGUGAUAACAACAAACCUGUGUUUAAGCGUCCCCCACUUGGGUGCCCUGCAUGCGUUCCAACAGUGGACUGUCUUCCAGAGACACAACAGCAGGACGGCCAGGUUCAUUCCACAAGGAAGUGAGCAGAAGCAUAUUGACUCCUUAAUUAUCUGACUUCUCCCCCUUCUAAACUGUCACUGUUUUAAAAUUAUGAUGUUUCAUAUAUCAAUCCAGGUUUCAGGCGUCUCCUGAAGAAUUAGAAGAUCUGCCAACCCUGGCCAGUAUUUCUCCUGGCGGCCUCCACAGGUGGGGUAGAGGCUGCCCCUUUUAGCUAGGAUAAAGCUUCCUGGAAAGGGCACAGUUUCUACCAUUGUCCGUGAAAGCCGAGGAGCUCACGGCCAUAUACCACCUUUUAUCUUUCUGCUUCUCCCAUCGCCCUCUCUCUCCUGGCUCUUGAAGGCAUGUGAGUGUGCUGCCCUACUUUAAAGACUGCGGACAGCUCUCACGUUGCAUGGUUGUGCAGGACCAUAAAAACAAUCCGGAGAGCAGAAAUCGUGCCAAGUGAUUGUAAUAAUCAAUAGGAAAAUGAUGAUUGUUCUGUAAACUUUAAAAAUGCUUGUCGAAAUAUUAAAAACUCUUUCAGUGCCAGUUAUAAAUAGACAAGGGAAUGGAGUGAUCUGUAAAACCAAUGUUUAUUUAGUAACUGGAAUUUAAACAUGAGAAACGAGGAAAGCGUUUUAUUUCUUCGCAAAAAGUUACGGGGCGGAGUUUGAACUGUGCUUACCUCCUGUAUAAUUUACAGUAGGCAGCAUGCCUCUUUUCUACACCCUGGCAACUUAUCACACUCCUCUCGAAGUAUGGAUCAACUUCCAAAAUUUAAUGCCUUCUGCAUUCAAUGUCAUGAGAUAUACCUGAGAGUUUUUAAUGGGACGUUUUGGCUGGUGUGACCUCACCCUUUCCCUCAUCCCGGUCAGUACGUCCGCCUUCGUGGAGCUCCUCUUGCUGUGUCUCCCCAGCGUGGCAGUGGCUGCCCCCACACUCAGUCAUGACUUCUGAGACGCCCCCUGACCCUCGGUGUGAAUUUCACUUUCCCUGUUACUGCUUUUUGUUUCUUUGCUGCGCCUUUAUCUGUGUGGGCCAGUUCUCUCUUUCAGGGACCCGUAUUUGUAAAACGUCACAUGGUUUGUCACCGGUAGACAAGGAGGCAACAAAGCCACGUGCUUUGCUGUCUGUGUGUGAGUCGUCUGACAUCACUGGUCAUAAACGCACAUCAGUCGUUGUCGUAAGUGGUUUCUGUUGUGUGUGUACUUUACACAAUCACUUACUGUUAAUAUACCCCCAGCAACUGAAACGGCAAUGGUGUAGUUGAGGGACUGGUGUUUCUUAACUAAAUCAUGAAAACUGUUGCGUAUGGGAACCGUGUGAAGUGAGGACCGCCCCUAAUGUCUUUUGUGUGACAAGACAAAUUAUGAAAACUUCUUAGACCUAAUAUUUUGAAUGGACUUUAAAAGUCACCCCACCCAACAGGCCUCCAAAGGAGGAUCCCCUUGUACAGUGUCCAAUCCUGUGACCAUUUGCAGAAUCCUUGAGAAAACAAAAAAAAAUAUCAAGUUUUUUUGUAACGCUCAGCCCACAGAUUCUUGGCAGAAACCUAUUGUAGUGUUAAUACAACACUGACCACCAGGUGGAGUGCUAGGCUCCCUGUCUUACCCCCCCAGGGCCCGGUGCUAAGACCCAGAGCUCUAUGGCAGACACAACAGGGAUCGGAACUCUGAUUCCAUAUGAUGAACGUGCUCUAUGGAAUCCUCUCUUAUCCCGGAAAUCAGGUACAGGAAGAAGGGUGUGGCUUCCCUAGGACAGCCUGGAGUGAGCAGAUUACAUUCACCCCCUUUGGCCCACUGUCUCCAGGAGGCUAUAUUUUUUUUUCCUUGACCGUUUGAGCUGAAGUUUGGUUAUGAGCCUAGGGAAUAAUGACAAUGCUUGGUCAGUCUGGAUGGACACCCAAUGUAAGUGGAAGGACUUAUGGCUCCAAAUGGCCCAGCACACUGGGAACCCAAUAGUAAGGCUUCAUUGUGAAUUCCAUGGCGUAAAUUCACAGGUGGGAUUCCAGGGGUGACCCUCGGACACUCUGUAUAGAUUUCCCUUGGGAGCCUAGCAGCAGAACGUGGUCAUAACAGUUAGUUGGCCAAGGUUUCCAGAAUCCUGGAUCCUGUCUGUCUGGUGGAAAAUUACCUUGAUGCACAACGUACCUCCUAGUACACUACAGGCAAGCUCUCCCGGAGCUCACACAACACAGAGGCUCACAGAUUAAACUAAAAUGCGCAAAUCACAUGGGUUAUUAAGUCGAUUUAAAAUUCAUAGCAAGAAGCAAGUGGGAAGUGAUCUGGUAAGGUAACAAAAUAGGGAGCAGACGGAGCUGAAGAGCCUUAGCCCCUGAAUCGUAAGGUGUGCAAAAUUCACCUGUCCUCUCUUUCUCUCCUUGUGCCACAUCAGCCUUCACCACUGAUGCUAUGAUUUGUAAAGACCACAACUGAGCUUUGCACAAGGUGGUCCACAGAUAGAAGUUUCCCAGAGCUAAUAACACACACUUUUCAGAGAGACACGGGGACAGGGGUAGGUAUGCUUGGCCACAGCUAUAGUCCAUUGAUUAGCCUGUGGACCAACCAUAGAUUUUAUUUAUAUUUCUUGGGGAGACAAUGCAAUAGACCGUGAUGGGUGAUAUCAAUGGUUGGCCAAAUUAAGGCCUUAUGAACAUUGAAUAUUCAUGCAUAUUUUGUAUCCUGAGUAUUUCUUGUAUUAGUGCUUCCUAAUGUCUCAUGUGUAUUUAUUAUUUCAUGACUAUUAGGGUGGCAUGUUCAUUCUUCUCUUUCUGCAUGUAACAUACACGUGCUCUACCUACUAACUGCUCAGGAUUACUUAGCACAGCUUACGAGUUUCAUGCAACGCAUGUGAUUUUUUCCUUCUACAGAAAACAAAGUUCUCGAUAAUGCAACAAGUGCGCAUUACCCGUCACCCCUAGAAUAUCAGGUCUCUCCCUCCAACUAGUCACACAGAUAAGCUAAAACGACAAACCACCAUUAUCACAGUAAACAAUACGGAAACAGCAUCUCUUAAACAACUCAGUCAUAUCAACGUGAGCCCAGUCAGUCCAGUGUUUUCCGAAGCACUUCCCCAGACAGUGAGGCCCCAGGAAGCCCCAGGCGUCCAGACAGGGCAUCGUUGCCAUCGGCUCUAUUGUCUUCACAAUGACAAAGGUCCUGCGUUGGUGUUGACUUCUUAUUUCUUGUGCAUCCUCAUCAGAAGCAUUGUUUGUGAUGUUUUUCUAGAUAUCUGUCUAUUAAAGCUGAUUUAGCCUUUUUCUCUGACAGGUCCAGAAGCGAAGACUUUUAUCUCUUGAGUGCACUGAAACAUAGUCUAAAAGCGCAUGUUCCAACAGGACCAUAACCAUCAUUAGGUUUUGGACAAGCCAACCCUCUUCUUGUGAGAAAAUGUCCAGAAAUCAGGACAGAACAUUUUCUUUCUUUCUUUAAAAGAGUUUAUUUAUUUAUUUGACAGAGAGAGAGCACAAGCAGAGGGGAAAGGCAGAGGCAGAGGGAGAAACAGGCUCGCUGCUGAGCAGGGAGCCCAAUGAGUGGGGCUCAGUCCCAGAACCCUGGGAUCAUGACCUGAGCCGAAGGCAGAUGCUUCACCAACUGAGCCACCCAGGCGCCCCUGAACGUUUUAUUUCUAAUAUAAUAUGUUUUGCUGUACUUGGCCUAUUUUAUUUACACAGGUACAAUAAGAGAUACUGAGUAUUGAAACUAUGCAAAUAACUACAUCACAACAAAAAGAAACUUAGUAAAUACACUUUGCAAAGUAUUUAACUAUGAUUCUAAGAUCAAUCGAUAGAUGGUGUCUUUUCUACAGAAUCCUUAUUCUUUGAGUUUUUUGAAAGUUUAUCAGAAGAGUUUUUAUGGAAUAAAAACUUUUGAAGUCCAAGGGAAAGUCUGAAACAAGAUACCAAUUGAAAGUGUGCUCCAUGUUCCAUGGAGAGAUAAAGAGAGAUUCAGACACAAUUCACAGUGGAACCUUAACCACAAUCAAAUCUGCUCUUUCAGUCCCAGCUAAUUAGUUCUUGUUUUGUUGGUCUUGGGUUAAGCUCUAUUUCAUGAAGUCUGCCUCUGGACUGAAAGAGUCCUGAAAACCCCAAUUCAGUCCUUGGGUAGAAGCUGACAGGUGUUGGGUACCAUCUGUUACUGAGAUUCUUUGACGGUUCUUAAAAACCAGUGCAUUUCGGAGCUGUGGUUUGUAGCAGGGGGCCUUAGACCAAUGGGAGGAAGCAGCAGGAGCCUGUCGAUGACAAGACAGUUUCAGCCUGGUUAGUUUACUGUAUUAAUCCACAUUGUCAGUGUGGGUAAGGACCGGUGCUUCCUGUUAUAGCUGUGUUUGUGGCUGGUGAGGACAUUGACAAACCUCCAGGGCCUUCUGAUUCACCCGCAUUACUGAAUAAUCUGACCUCAAAGUAGAAAGAUUGGGGAGAAAGUUCAUGAGGUCACCGGGAACAGGAAGUUGUGCUUCUGUGGAACUUCUGAAGCUAUGUCUCCAGAACUACAUCAUCUUUGGAAACAAUUUUAUUGAUGUAUAAUCGAUUAAUGGACACACAAUUACCCAUCCAUGUUUGAGAUGUAUGAUUUGAUAAGUUUGACAUCUAUAUGCACCCAUGAAAACGCAACUGCAGUCAAGGGCAUAUGUCUCCAUCCCGUGCACGCGGAUAUCCUGAAGUGACUUCUGAGCCCAGAUGCCACAUGUCCUCCUGAUCUCCCUGAUCGGAGUCUCUCUGGCAAAUAAAGCAGUGACGUCAGGCUGGCUUGUUGCCGGUGAGCCCACAUCAUCACUAUGGUGAGUAUCCACUCUAAAUGGAAGGAGUCUGUACUCAACCUGUUAUGAACCAUGGUGAGCACCACCUUCCCUAAUGGUUUUGCUGCUUCUUCUAAGCCUCUGUGGAUCCUCCCUUUCGUAGCCAAUGCUGGUAUUUUGUUCAACAACUACUACCAAGACAACGGCAACAAGACCGUCAUUGCGCUCCCUGACCAUGCUCCGGGCACUGUUCUGGAAUUUGACACACGAGCACAAUGAGCAAGACUGUAAAUCCAUUGAGGAUAGACCGUGUUUGCCUUAUGGUUCGUUGUGUUCCUGGCGGGGACUGCGAUGGCGCCGUGCCCAGACCAGACUCUCCUUAAAUAUUUGCCGAUUGAUAAACGGGCACAAAAGCAGCUUGAAAUGGACAGAGCAGCCCCUUAUUCUCACCGCUGCCCCUUUCUUGGGCAGCAGGACACCCUGCCCCUCCCUCACGACUGUGCGGGAGGAAGAGCUUGGGAGCUGCAGGGUCGUAACCUGCAUUCGCCAUGUCUUACCUGCAUGUGGGUUCCACACCUGGUUCUUCCAGCAUCAAGGAUGUAUCUGAAAACAACUGCAUCCUUUUCAGGAAGUUCAAGGAAACCUAGACAGGCAUCUCUUCUUUCUCCCUGAACUUGGAACCAGGAGGCAAGCAGAAGAAAACCAAAACAUCACCUAAAUUACUGGAAAUGUAGACAUAUUUCUAGUGUAGGUAAAGGCCAGGUUGGAGAAUGUGGCUUCCAUCUUGGACCAAGCGAUAGGCUGAUUCUGACCCUCCAGCAUGAUGUGACGUGACUUACCCACCUAGUCAAAACCAGCGCUGGACCACCGCUGGCCUCCCCCAUGGCCCAUUGCCCCAGCACAAUUUAGUGGGUGAAAAAAACGCAGAACAUGCAGGCAGCUGGCUCCAAAGGGGAGAGAGGGGCUCCAUGGAGCAUGCUUGGAGCCAUCUUUCAAGUACACCAAUCAGUGAAGUCACUCUUCAUCUACUGAGGAGUCCGAGUGAAGGAGUGAUGAGGACAGAAGCAAUUCUCUAAUGUGUGGAAACAUAAAACCAAGAGAUUCCCCACACAACGGCUUCUGUCUUCACCCACUGGGCUUAACCAUCACAUCCAUGGUCAACCAGAAGUGAGGCCGCCUUCUCAGGGAGAAAGGUCAACAGCCUAUUAGAGCAAUCUAUCCCACUUUCCCAGGACCAUUCCCCCACUAUCAACCACUGUUCCUGAGCGGAUCCCCCUAGGGCCUGUCAUGGGAAGCCGAGGUUCUGUUUUGGAAUUAAUCAGAAUCGUACAUUAAUUAAAUUAACCCCAAGGCCACCUGUUAUGGGUUAAAUUUUGUCCCCUUAAAAAAAUCUGUUGAAGUCCUAACACACCACACCUCAGAUUGUGAUCGUAUUUGGAAAUGUGACCAUAUUAUUAUAAAUGUGAUUACUAACUUAAAAUGAGGCCAUAGGGAAGUUAAGGUGAGCCUGUCAUGCAGUGUGACUCAUGUCCUUAUAAGAAGACACAGAGACAGGAUGAGGGGAAGAACAGAGACAGGGAGAAUGGAAGGAAGACGCAGGCAGAGAUUGGAGUGAUGUGUCUACAAGAUGAGGCACACCAAAGAUGGACAGCUGUCACCAGAAGUGAGGAAGAGACAAGAGAAGAUUCUCCCUCAGAGUCCUCGGAAGGAACCAACCCUGCUAACAUCUCAGUUUUAGGCUUCUAACCCCCAGUACCAUAAGAGAAUGAGUUCCUGUUGUUUCAUGCCACCUGGUUUGUGGUCCUUUGUUCAUGGCAGCACCAGGAAACGAAUACCCCGGCCAAUACCCAAGAUCAUAAGUUGACUCUUCCUCAACCCAAAUUAUGGGCAGACACAUUCUCCGUGCGUCUCAUCAAGCAUCAAAGAAAAAUGCUUCAUUGAGCAUUGGUUAUCCUCCUUGGGAAUGAUAAUUUCAACAGCUGAAUUCUGAGAAAUCUUUAAUUUCUUCUUUCCAAGUGCUUAUUCUCCCCCCCCCCAGAUAUUAAAAUAAGAAUUCAAUGAAUUAGGAAAUAAUUAAGAAAAAAAUAUGUUGUGGAAAUACAGAGGUGUUUAAGUUGGCUUUCAGAAAGUUUGUUCUCACUUCCAUUUUACACGUGAGCUGAUUUGUGUGUGCAUGCUGUGGAAAUAAACCUACUGGACAUCGA